rnacentral:rRNA from 1 species
CCUACGGGAGGCAGCAGUGGGGAAUCUUGCGCAAUGGGCGAAAGCCUGACGCAGCAACGCCGCGUGCGGGAUGAAGGCCUUCGGGUUGUAAACCGCUUUUAACAGGAACGAAAAUGACGGUACCUGUAGAAUAAGGUGCGGCCAACUACGUGCCAGCAGCCGCGGUGACACGUAGGCACCAAGCGUUGUCCGGAUUUAUUGGGCGUAAAGAGCUCGUAGGCGGUUCGAUAAGUCGGGUGUGAAAACUCUGGGCUUAACCCAGAGACGCCACUCGAUACUAUUGUGACUAGAGUUCGGUAGGGGAGCGGGGAAUUCCUAGUGUAGCGGUGAAAUGCGCAGAUAUUAGGAGGAACACCGGUGGCGAAGGCGCCGCUCUGGGCCGAAACUGACGCUGAGGAGCGAAAGCGUGGGUAGCAAACAGGAUUAGAUACCCUGGCAGUCCACGACCGUAACGGUAGGCGACGUAGGUGGUGGUCGUCCGAACCGAACCGGACGUCCGCGCCGUCGCGUACGACACUAGUCGCCCGCCGUCGGGUAGGUACGGCCGCGAACGUAAACGUACGAAGAAGUAGACGGCGUGAGACGNGCCGACGGACGACGACGAGGGAGGUUAGG